rnacentral:snRNA from 1 species
UUUUUUGUACAGUGGUAGUAUCAUAGCCAAUGAGGUUUAUUCAACAUGAGAUUAUUGCUAACUGAAAACUUUUCCCAAUACCCCAUCACGACGACUUGACAUAUAGUUGGCAUUGGCAAUUUUUGAGAGUCUCUAUGAAGA